CUGAACCUUCGGGGGACGAUAACGGCGUCGAGCGGCGGACGGGUGAGUAAUGCCUAGGAAAUUGCCCUGGUGUGGGGGAUAACCAUUGGAAACGAUGGCUAAUACCGCAUAAUACCUUCGGGUCAAAGAGGGGGACCUUCGGGCCUCUCGCGUCAGGAUAUGCCUAGGUGGGAUUAGCUAGUUGGUGAGGUAAUGGCUCACCAAGGCGACGAUCCCUAGCUGGUCUGAGAGGAUGAUCAGCCACACUGGAACUGAGACACGGUCCAGACUCCUACGGGAGGCAGCAGUGGGGAAUAUUGCACAAUGGGCGCAAGCCUGAUGCAGCCAUGCCGCGUGUGUGAAGAAGGCCUUCGGGUUGUAAAGCACUUUCAGUCGUGAGGAAGGUAGUGUAGUUAAUAGCUGCAUUAUUUGACGUUAGCGACAGAAGAAGCACCGGCUAACUCCGUGCCAGCAGCCGCGGUAAUACGGAGGGUGCGAGCGUUAAUCGGAAUUACUGGGCGUAAAGCGCAUGCAGGUGGUUUGUUAAGUCAGAUGUGAAAGCCCGGGGCUCAACCUCGGAAUAGCAUUUGAAACUGGCAGACUAGAGUACUGUAGAGGGGGGUAGAAUUUCAGGUGUAGCGGUGAAAUGCGUAGAGAUCUGAAGGAAUACCGGUGGCGAAGGCGGCCCCCUGGACAGAUACUGACACUCAGAUGCGAAAGCGUGGGGAGCAAACAGGAUUAGAUACCCUGGUAGUCCACGCCGUAAACGAUGUCUACUUGGAGGUUGUGGCCUUGAGCCGUGGCUUUCGGAGCUAACGCGUUAAGUAGACCGCCUGGGGAGUACGGUCGCAAGAUUAAAACUCAAAUGAAUUGACGGGGGCCCGCACAAGCGGUGGAGCAUGUGGUUUAAUUCGAUGCAACGCGAAGAACCUUACCUACUCUUGACAUCCAGAGAACUUUCCAGAGAUGGAUUGGUGCCUUCGGGAACUCUGAGACAGUGCUGCAUGCUGUCGUCAGCU
rnacentral:rRNA from 1 species